rnacentral:tRNA from 1 species
GGAGAUGUGGUCGAGUCUGGCUUAUGGCACCGGUUUCGAAAACCGACGACCCGCAAGGGUCCGGGGGUUCAAAUCCCUCCAUCUCCGCCA